UACGUAGGGUGCGAGCGUUGCCCGGAUUUAUUGGGCGUAAAGGGCGCGUAGGCGGCUCGGCACGUCCGUUGUGGAAAUCGCCCGGCUCAACUGGGCGGGGUCAGCGGAUACGGUCGAGCUUGAGCAAGCUAGGGGGCAAUGGAAUUCCCGGUGUAGUGGUGGAAUGCGUAGAUAUCGGGAGGAACACCAGUGGCGAAGGCGGUUGCCUGGAGCUUUGCUGACGCUGAGGCGCGAAAGCGUGGGGAGCGAACAGG
rnacentral:rRNA from 1 species